rnacentral:rRNA from 1 species
GAUGAACGCUGGCGGCGUGCCUAAUACAUGCAAGUCGAACGAAGAUCUAGCUUGCUAGAUCUUAGUGGCGAACGGGUGAGUAAUACAUAAAUAAUCUGCCCAUAUGACUGGGAUAACUAUUGGAAACGAUAGCUAAUACCGGAUAGGUUGAUUGGAGGCAUCUCUGAUUAAUUAAAGUAGGAUCUCUACACAAAUGGAUGAGUUUAUGGCGCAUUAGUUAGUUGGUGGGGUAACGGCCUACCAAGACGAUGAUGCGUAGCCGACCUGAGAGGGUGACCGGCCACACUGGGACUGAGACACGGCCCAGACUCCUACGGGAGGCAGCAGUAGGGAAUUUUCGGCAAUGGGCGCAAGCCUGACCGAGCAACGCCGCGUGAGUGAUUAAGGCCUUCGGGUUGUAAAGCUCUGUUGUAAGGGAAGAACAUUCAGGAUAGGAAAUGAUCUUGAACUGACGGUACCUUACCAGAAAGCCACGGCUAACUCUGUGCCAGCAGCCGCAGUAAUAC